UUUGCGCCUUUCCUGGGACUCACUUGGUAGCCCAGGCUGGCCUCGAACUCACAGAGAUCCGCCUGGCUCUGCCUCCCGAGUGCUGGGAUUAAAGGCGUGCGCCACCACCGCCCGGCUGAGGCACACCUUCUUGGAUCUCUGGAGGGGACAGGGCUCAGGCUUCUGUGGCUCAGGCAGUGCUGUUUUCACACCGCCCAGCUGGAUGGACCACGACUGCCACGUCUUACUGCGAACAGAGCCACAGGAAUUCCCCAGGGUCAUCCUACCCUACCUGAGUCCCAACCAGAGAAGGAGGUGGCUCUGAUGAACUUCAUUGACCAGUGUGCCCAAUGCUCUGAAGAGCGGUGGCCCUCGCACCCUAGGGCUGGAGUCUUCCCAACGUCAGUGUCCGUCUCUAAGGUUUCAUCUUUCUCCCCAUUACUGUCAAGUCAUCACUUCCAUCUUCCAAGGUUUCACUGAUGGAUGUCCUCUGUCUGCUGUCAUCUCCUGUUUAUCCUUAAGGGUCCAUAGUUUG